UACGUAGGGGGCUAGCGUUGUCCGGAAUCAUUGGGCGUAAAGCGCGUGUAGGCGGUCCGGUAAGUCCGCUGUGAAAGUCGAGGGCUCAACCCUCGAAUGCCGGUGGAUACUGUCGGGCUAGAGUGCGGAAGAGGCGAGUGGAAUUCCUGGUGUAGCGGUGAAAUGCGCAGAUAUCAGGAGGAACACCAGUGGCGAAGGCGAGUCCCUGGACAACACCUGACACUGAGGCACGAAAGCUAGGGGAGCAAACAGG
rnacentral:rRNA from 1 species